rnacentral:rRNA from 1 species
GAUGAACGCUGGCGGCGUGCCUAACACAUGCAAGUCGAACGAGGUAUUUUGAUUGAAGUUUUCGGAUGGAUUUCAAGAUACCGAGUGGCGGACGGGUGAGUAACGCGUGGGUAACCUGCCUCAUACAGGGGGAUAACGGUUAGAAAUGACUGCUAAUACCGCAUAAGCGCACAGUACCGCAUGGUACGGUGUGAAAAACUCCGGUGGUAUGAGAUGGACCCGCGUCUGAUUAGCUAGUUGGUGGGGUAACGGCCCACCAAGGCGACGAUCAGUAGCCGACCUGAGAGGGUGAUCGGCCACAUUGGGACUGAGACACGGCCCAGACUCCUACGGGAGGCAGCAGUGGGGGAUAUUGCACAAUGGAGGAAACUCUGAUGGAGCGACGCCGCGUGAGUGAAGAAGUAUUUCGGUACGUAAAGCUCUAUCAGCAGGGAAGAAAAUGACGGUACCUGACUAAGAAGCCCCGGCUAACUACGUGCCAGCCGCCGCAGUAA